UACAGGGGGGGCAAGCGUUGUUCGGAAUUACUGGGCGUAAAGGGUCUGUAGGUGGCCAACUAAGUCAGACGUGAAAUCCCUCAGCUUAACUGGGGAACUGCGUCUGAUACUGGAUGGCUUGAGUGUGGGAGAGGAAUGCGGAAUUCCAGGUGUAGCGGUGAAAUGCGUAGAUAUCUGGAGGAACACCGGUGGCGAAGGCGGCAUUCUGGACCGACAUUGACGCUGAGGAGCGAAAGCUAGGGGAGCAAACGGG
rnacentral:rRNA from 1 species